GACGAACGCUGGCGGCGUGCUUAACACAUGCAAGUCGAACGGAAAGGCCCUGCUUUUGUGGGGUGCUCGAGUGGCGAACGGGUGAGUAACACGUGAGUAACCUGCCCUUGACUUUGGGAUAACUUCAGGAAACUGGGGCUAAUACCGGAUAGGAGCUCCUGCUGCAUGGUGGGGGUUGGAAAGUUUCGGCGGUUGGGGAUGGACUCGCGGCUUAUCAGCUUGUUGGUGGGGUAGUGGCUUACCAAGGCUUUGACGGGUAGCCGGCCUGAGAGGGUGACCGGCCACAUUGGGACUGAGAUACGGCCCAGACGCCGACGGGAGGCAGCAGUGGGGAAUAUUGCACAAUGGGCGGAAGCCUGAUGCAGCAACGCCGCGGGCGGGAGGACGGCCUUCGGGUUGUAAACCGCUUUCGCCUGUGACGAAGCGUGAGUGACGGUAAUGGGUAAAGAAGCACCGGCUAACUACGUGC
rnacentral:rRNA from 1 species